GAUGAACGCUGACAGAAUGCUUAACACAUGCAAGUCUACUUGAUUCUACUUCGGUAGUUGAUGGUGGCGGACGGGUGAGUAACGCGUAAAGAAUCUGCCCUUUAGUUUGGGAUAACCUUUGGAAACGAAGGCUAAUACCGAAUAUUAUGGAGUUGUCGCAUGACGACUUCAUGAAAGCUAUAUGCGCUAGAGGAGGACUUUGCGUCCCAUUAGUUAGUUGGUGAGGUAAUGGCUCACCAAGACCGCGAUGGGUAGCCGGCCUGAGAGGGUGAUCGGCCACAAGGGAACUGAGACCCGGUCCCUACUCCUACGGGAGGCAGCAGUGGGGAAUAUUGGACAAUGGACCAUAAGUCUGAUCCAGCAAUUCUGUGUGCACGAUGAAGGUCUUCGGAUUGUAAAGUGCUUUCAGUAGGGAAGAAAAAAAUGACGGUACCUACAGAAGAAGCGACGGCUAAAUAUGUGCCAGCAGCCGCGGUAA
rnacentral:rRNA from 1 species